rnacentral:rRNA from 2 species
GUAACGGCUCACCAAGGCGACGAUGCGUAGCCGACCUGAGAGGGUGAUCGGCCACACUGGGACUGAGACACGGCCCAGACUCCUACGGGAGGCAGCAGUAGGGAAUCUUCCGCAAUGGACGAAAGUCUGACGGAGCAACGCCGCGUGAGUGAUGAAGGUUUCGGAUCGUAAAGCUCUGUUGUUAGGGAAGAACAAGUACCUGUUAAAUAAGCAGGUACCUUGACGGUACCUAACCAGAAAGCCACGGCUAACUACGUGCCAGCAGCCGCGGUAAUACGUAGGUGGCAAGCGUUGUCCGGAAUUAUUGGGCGUAAAGCGCGCGCAGGCGGUUCCUUAAGUCUGAUGUGAAAGCCCACGGCUCAACCGUGGAGGGUCAUUGGAAACUGGGGAACUUGAGUGCAGAAGAGGAGAGCGGAAUUCCACGUGUAGCGGUGAAAUGCGUAGAGAUGUGGAGGAACACCAGUGGCGAAGGCGGCUCUCUGGUCUGUAACUGACGCUGAGGCGCGAAAGCGUGGGGAGCGAACAGGAUUAGAUACCCUGGUAGUCCACGCCGUAAACGAUGAGUGCUAAGUGUUAGAGGGUUUCCGCCCUUUAGUGCUGCAGCAAACGCAUUAAGCACUCCGCCUGGGGAGUACGGUCGCAAGACUGAAACUCAAAUGAAUUGACGG